AGUAAUGCAGUGUGUUAGUGCUGAGCUUGAACAAAAGUAGUUCUUUAGGAUCAGGAGUUGGGAAACAAUGAACUACAGUACUUUAUGUUAAACCUCUGACUUAUGUUGUCUCUUUUACUUUAUUUAGAUGACUGUUCUUGCCAAUGACAAAGAGAUGGACAAAAGCCGUACUUUGGCUCGGACCAGUCACUUCAUCACUAUCUUAGGCUGCCUGGACAGACUGACCUACUCAGUGGACUGCACACAGGCUGUGACACCAUUUUGGGAGGUGCAGUGCCUCACUAACUGCAGUCAUGGACCUUACAAACCUGCCACCAAUCUCCACAGUAAUGACCAUGUCCCCAUCAAUCAAGGUUAGAGUAAUACAGUUUCACCUUUUCAUUCUGACACUGCUUGUUUUACUGUAGCCAAUCUGAUUGCUUGUUUUGAACUCAGUUCAAAGAAAAGACCCAGCUCUUUCACUCUAUUGGACUGUCCUGGGGAAACAGGAAGAUAUAACAGUUCACGUUACUCAUCAACAACUUGGUGUGUUGUCACUUUACCACUCUCCCUUCUCUCCCUGUGUUUACACCCUGUUUUACUUUAAUAUGGCUCAACAGUUUAUUAUCUCACAUUAGCUUAUCAUCAGGUGUGUUGAUCUACUCUAUAGGAUCAUAUUUAACCUCAGAGACUCAGCUUGGCUCAGAAGGAGUGUUACAGCUGAGAUACUGUAACAGCAGA